UGUUAGGUUAGGGAACAAAACCAAUAAGAAAAAUCUUCUUUCAACCCAUCAAACAAUAUUUGUUUGGUAGUAAUGCAGUCAGCCAUAAUUCUUACACUGUAUUAGGAACACCUGCUCAAUCUGCAAUUAUCCAAUCAGCCAAUCAAGAGGCAGCAGCACAAAGAAUAAAAUCAUGCAGAUGCAGGUCAAGAGCUUCAGCUUCAGGAAAAAUGUGAUUUUAGAGACUUUAAUCCUGGUGCCAGAUAUUUGAGGUUGAUGUUUGCUGAUCUCCUGGUAUUUUCAUGCACAACAGUCUCUAGACUUUACAUAGAAUAGUGUGACAUUGAUUGAGCAGCAGCUCUGCCAGCAGAAACGUCUUGUUGAUGAGUGAGGUCUGAGGAGAAUUGCCAGAUUGGUUUAAGCUGAGAAAUCUACAGUAACUUGAAUACCACUCCCAACAACUGUGGUCCUUUGGUUUCCCAAAAUCUGGAUGGAUGGAUGGAUGGAUAGAUAGAGCUCAGAUUCUAACUGUGGACCAUGGAGCUGUGAGGUGGCAAUGCUAUCCACUGCACUGCUCUGACUAGUUCAUUUUAUCAAAAACGAAUAAUUACAUAAUUACCUCAGAUUGAAUCAGGAACAUGAUACACACUGUACUGCUCCUGAAUCCCCUGCUCCGGUGGUACAAAUGGUACUGCAAGCGGAGAUUUUGGGGUCGUGGAGAGCCUGGAGCCUAUCCCAGGGAACUUGGGACACAAGGCGGGGACACCCUGGAGAGGGUAUCAAUCCCAUGACAGGGCACACUCUCACAUUAUUAUAUAUGGACAAUUUAGAGAUGCCUACAACGCAUAUCUUUGGACUGGGGUAAACCUCAGAAGCACAGGGAGAACAUGCAAGCUCUGCACACACAAGCUCUCAGCAGAGGCAGGAAUUGAACCCCCAAUCCUGGAGGUGUUAACCACUAAGCCACCGUGCCCCCGAUGACACCGGCUGUGUACUGAUAAAGUAUUUAGUGUGGUAGUAUGCAGUAUUUGGGAUGUAGCCCAAGUAUUUGGGAAGUAGCUUGAGAGUGGUGCAAAAGGAAGUUGCAUGAAGUUAACAACAUUAUGCAAAUGAAAAAUUAAUAUCUUCAGGAUGUGGGCAAUCAGAUGAGUCAUUUUUAAUCUAAUCUCUGUGUAUUGUUGUCCAGCCUGUCAAACACAUCAAAAUAGAUAGUCUUAGCAUGCCAGAUAAUAUGCAAAACAAUAAAUAUACACAAGGGUGAGAUAAAACCCUGGAUGAUUCACUCUCAUGUGAUAUAACCAAGUUGAAAAUGCUGUAAUAAAAGAAUCACACAAACACCUUCUGUUAGUCACUAGAUGGCUAUUAUGAGUUUCCUAGCUAAAUCACUUGAAACCUAAAUAACUAAACAACUAUGUAAUGAUAUAAACUCUACAGCAAAGAUAAACUGGCUGACUAUCAUCUUUCAUUCCCACCAAACAAGACAGCAAAUAAAUGCCUUACCUGGUCAGCAUGAAAUAUUAUACUCGACCCCCUGACACUGCAUUGAAUGUGAACCACUAUUACAGGAUUAUCAGGGUGACUGACAGCAGCUCAGGAAUAUCAUAUUAUAAAAAAAUAAGGUGUUUUCCUGACUCAAUUAUUAUGUUACUUUUCCAUUUUUUAACACUGUAAAUUUAAGGAACCAGAGUCAUUUCUUUCACAUUCCAUUCCCGAGUCUGUGACCGUGUGGUUGGACACUGUGAUGGGAACAACACUAUGUGUGAUGUGUGAUGAUAGCCAAAACCUUUGACCCCUCGUGUG